GGUUGUUUGGCCGAGCGGUCUAAGGCGCCUGAUUCAAGAAUAACAAAUUCUUGGCUGCGGAACACUGCAGGAAUACUCAGGUAUCGUAAGAUGCAAGAGUUCGAAUCUCUUAGCAACCA
rnacentral:tRNA from 1 species